rnacentral:rRNA from 1 species
GCUAGCUACAGGCUUAACACAUGCAAGUCGAGGGGCAGCAUUUCAGUUUGCUUGCAAACUGGAGAUGGCGACCGGCGCACGGGUGAGUAACACGUAUCCAACCUGCCGAUAACUCGGGGAUAGCCUUUCGAAAGAAAGAUUAAUACCCGAUGGUAUAAUUAGACCGCAUGGUCUUGUUAUUAAAGAAUUUCGGUUAUCGAUGGGGAUGCGUUCCAUUAGGCAGUUGGUGAGGUAACGGCUCACCAAACCUUCGAUGGAUAGGGGUUCUGAGAGGAAGGUCCCCCACAUUGGAACUGAUACACGGUCCAAACUCCUACGGGAGGCAGCAAUGAGGAAUAUUGAUCAAUGGGCGCAAGCCUGAACCAGCCAAGUAGCGUGAAGGAUGACUGCCCUAUGGGUUGUAAACUUCUUUUAUAUGGGAAUAAAGUUUUCCACGUGUGGAAUUUUGUAUGUACCAUAUGAAUAAGGAUCGGCUAACUCCGAGCCAGCAGCCGCGGCAAUACGGAGGAUCCGAGCGUUAUCCGGAUUUAUUGCGUUUAAAGGGA